rnacentral:lncRNA from 13 species
AGCAGGCCCUGAGCCUGACCCUCCACCUGGAAGUUCAAGGCUGAGCUGUCUUUGGAAGACCUACAAUGAAAGAGGAAUAGAUUUUGAUCAAGAAAUGGAGAAGAUUUCAAUGGUGUUAAAGAUGGUGGCAGAUGAUCUGCAAUACUGAAGCACAGUGCCUCAUUCUGAAUUAAUGCUCUUCAAGUCAAUGAUGAAAAAUACAAACAAUUGUAAAUCCCUUCUGUGAUUGCAACAUUCUACAAAAUCUGCUGCUGCUGCUAACUUGUGGUUCAACGGUAAAGUGAGAAGUAUUCAAGGUCAGAAUAUGAGUAAGGCAGGGAGGGAAGGCUGAAAAAUAAGAAGAGCAAUAAAUACAUUUUUGAGGGUCCUUAUGUUUUU